AAAAUGAGAAGCAGGUUUAACACGUUAGAUAGCUAAAAGAAGCAUGGUAUGACUGAAAAUAAAAUAAAAUAAGAUAUAAGCGGAGAACCUAAGGUGCGAAAAGAUAAAACCUGAGCGAUUCCUCCCUUGCUCUUCUCUUACAGUCUUUGAAAGACUCACUCUCGUUUUCUCCCAGGUUUUUCCCUCUUAAACAAACAGCCACAAAAAUUCCCCUUAGUCCUU
rnacentral:lncRNA from 1 species